GUCCAGACUCCUACGGGAGGCAGCAGUGGGGAAUAUUGCACAAUGGGGGAAACCCUGAUGCAGCGACGCCGCGUGAAGGACGAAGUAUUUCGGUACGUAAACUUCUAUCAGCAGGGAAGAAAAUGACGGUUCCUGACUAAGAAGCCCCGGCUAGCUACGUGCCAGCAGCCGCGGUAAUACGUAGGGGGCAAGCGUUAUCCGGAUUUACUGGGUGUAAAGGGAGCGUAGACGGUGCAGCAAGUCUGAUGUGAAAGGUCGGGGCCCAACCCCGGGACUGCAUUGGAAACUGUUGAACUGGAGUACAGGAGAGGUAAGCGGAAUUCCUAGUGUAGCGGUGAAAUGCGUAGAUAUUAGGAGGAACACCAGUGGCGAAGGCGGCUUACUGGACUGUAACUGACGUUGAGGCUCGAAAGCGUGGGGAGCAAACAGGAUUAGAUACCCGCGUAA
rnacentral:rRNA from 1 species